UAACACGUGGGUAACCUGCCUUAUAGUGGGGAUAGCCUUUCGAAAGGAAGAUUAAUACCGCAUAAGAUUGUAGUAUCGCAUGAUAUAGCAAUUAAAGGAGCAAUUCGCUAUAAGAUGGACCCGCGUCGCAUUAGCUAGUUGGUGAGGUAAUGGCUCACCAAGGCGACGAUGCGUAGCCGACCUGAGAGGGUGAUCGGCCACCAUUGGGACUGAGACACGGCCCAGACUCCUACGGGAGGCAGCAUG
rnacentral:rRNA from 1 species